rnacentral:lncRNA from 1 species
GAAAAAUAUAAUAAAAGAAGGAAAAAAUUAGAUAUAUUUAUUUAUUGAUUGCACAUUGAAAGGAACCAAACUUAAAAUACUGAUCUAAAAAAUAUAUCUCGAUACUUAAAAAAAAAAACACAGAGAUUCUAAAGAGGCAAUGAUAAGAGGACCCACAGCUCUUCUUUCUUGAAUAUACUUCACAAGUAAGUGCCCUUAUGGGAGAAACUACUGUGUGAGUGAGAUACAUCAAAAUAAGAUAAAAACUUUUUUUUUUUUUUUUUUUCGCAGAAAUAGUCUCAGAGGUAAAACAGCUGAGGUAUGUCACCAGCUAAGAGAAGAAAAAUCAUGCCUGGUAAAGCAGCCAAAGUCCACUUCUUCAACCUGGCCUUAUAGCUCAGUAACGUUUGUUCUUGGUCAUCAGAGUCACACAUCCAAUUCUGGCAUUGGAAAAACAAAUCAAACCUCAGUCAUACUCUGGAAAGGAGAGAACCAUAGUACUUUUGCAAAAGACUA